rnacentral:rRNA from 1 species
GAUGAACGCUGGCGGCGUGCCUAAUACAUGCAAGUCGAGCGAACAGACGAGGAGCUUGCUCCUCUGACGUUAGCGGCGGACGGGUGAGUAACACGUGGAUAACCUACCUAUAAGACUGGGAUAACUUCGGGAAACCGGAGCUAAUACCGGAUAAUAUAUUGAACCGCAUGGUUCAAUAGUGAAAGACGGUUUUGCUGUCACUUAUAGAUGGAUCCGCGCCGCAUUAGCUAGUUGGUAAGGUAACGGCUUACCAAGGCGACGAUGCGUAGCCGACCUGAGAGGGUGAUCGGCCACACUGGAACUGAGACACGGUCCAGACUCCUACGGGAGGCAGCAGUAGGGAAUCUUCCGCAAGGGGCGAAAGCCUGACGGAGCAACGCCGCGUGAGUGAUGAAGGUCUUCGGAUCGUAAAACUCUGUUAUUAGGGAAGAACAAAUGUGUAAGUAACUAUGCACGUCUUGACGGUACCUAAUCAGAAAGCCACGGCUAACUACGU